GUCUGGUCGGAGUGUAGUGGUGUUUACAACUAAUUGAUCACAACCAGUUACAGGUUUCUUGGUUCCUUCUCCACUCCCACUGCUUCACCUGAUUAGCCUAUA
ensembl:misc_RNA Y_RNA Y RNA